rnacentral:tRNA from 1 species
GUUCCUAUAGUUGAGUUACAACUGUGUUUUUUCAAGUCAUUAGCCCUGGUUAAAGUCCAGGUGGGAAUU